AACGAACGCUGGCGGCAUGCCUAACACAUGCAAGUCGAACGAGACCUUCGGGUCGAGUGGCGCACGGGUGCGUAACGCGUGGGAACCUGCCCUUAGGUUCGGAAUAACUCCCCGAAAGGGGUGCUAAUACCGGAUAAUGUCUUCGGACCAAAGAUUUAUCGCCUUUGGAUGGGCCCGCGUUGGAUUAGCUAGUUGGUAGGGUAAAAGCCUACCAAGGCGACGAUCCAUAGCUGGUCUGAGAGGAUGAUCAGCCACACUGGGACUGAGACACGGCCCAGACUCCUACGGGAGGCAGCAGUGGGGAAUAUUGGACAAUGGGCGAAAGCCUGAUCCAGCAAUGCCGCGUGAGUGAUGAAGGCCUUAGGGUUGUAAAGCUCUUGUACCCGGGAUGAUAAUGACAGUACCGGGAGAAUAAGCUCCGGCUAACUCCGCG
rnacentral:rRNA from 1 species